GGAAAUGGUGCUAAACUGGUAAAAGAAUUUCUAACACAGCAGUUUUACCAAAUUCUUUCCACCCUUUCUUUCAUCACUCUGUAUUUCCUUUCCUCUUUUCUUCCUUUCCAGAGUAUUUGGUGAGGGACUCAGGGGACUGUUGACUGUUUGGGCUGAGGCCUGGCUGGCGUAGAAAGAUAGAGAUUUGGCUUAAACAAUAGGAUGCGUUUGAUGGCGGGGAAAGGCCUUUCCAGAUAUUAGCAAACAAGGAAAACCUGUUUUAAAAGAAAUCUGAACAUGUUUAUGUGUCACUAGAAAAAGUCAAACACCCAGGAGGCGGAGGCAGGAGAAUCGCCUGAACCCAGGAGGCUGAGGCAGGAGAAUUGCCUGAACCCAGGAGGCUGAGGCAGGAGAAUCGCCUGAACCCAGGAGGCGGAGGCAGGAGAAUCGCCUGAACCCAGGAGGCAGAGGUUGCGGUGAGCCGAGGUCGCGCCAUUGCACUCCAGCCUGGCUAACAAGAGCGAAACUCCAUCUCAAAAAAAAAAAAAAAAAAAAAAAGAGGAAAGAAAAAAUCAAACACCAUGAAAGAAAACUGGGCAAGACAUAGUAGUGGGUCAAGACCCAGCCUGUAGGUGUGGACAGAUCUGAAAUCCAGCCAUCGAAAACAAAGCGUGUGCACACUGAGCAUAGUGAUCAAGCAUGAAGAUCCUGGAGACUUCAUGUUGUACAGAGUUAACUCCAGUUCCCUCCCUUGCUGCUUAACCACAGGCCAAGUGACUGACAACAUAAUGGCAAAACCUGAAGCGAAAUUGCCAAGGUAUUUUCUCUGAAGCCAACUUUGAAUGUGGAAGCAGAAGAGAAUCAUCAGAGUGACUCGAUCAACACCUUCAUUUCAUCAAACAAGCACAUAUAAUACUUACACUAUGCCAGGAACUGUU
rnacentral:lncRNA from 13 species